rnacentral:hammerhead_ribozyme from 1 species
AUCCAGCUGACGAGUCCUAAAUGGGACGAAACGAAUGUCACACUGGAU